GAUGAACGCUGGCGGCGUGCCUAAUACAUGCAAGUCGAGCGAAUGGAUUAAGAGCUUGCUCUUAUGAAGUUAGCGGCGGACGGGUGAGUAACACGUGGGUAACCUGCCCAUAAGACUGGGAUAACCCCGGGAAACCGGGGCUAAUACCGGAUAACAUUUUGAACCGCAUGGUUCGAAAUUGAAAGGCGGCUUCGGCUGUCACUUAUGGAUGGACCCGCGUCGCAUUAGCUAGUUGGUGAGGUAACGGCUCACCAAGGCAACGAUGCGUAGCCGACCUGGGAGGGUGAUCGGCCACACUGGGACUGAGACACGGCCCAGACUCCUACGGGAGGCAGCAGUAGGGAAUCUUCCGCAAUGGACGAAAGUCUGACGGAGCAACGCCGCGUGAGUGAUGAAGGCUUUCGGGUCGUAAAACUCUGUUGUUAGGGAAGAACAAGUGCUAGUUGAAUAAGCUGGCACCAUGACGGUACCUAACCAGAAAGCCACGGCUAACUACGUGCCAGCAGCCGCAGUAA
rnacentral:rRNA from 1 species